CCCAAGAGAUCGGGAUAACACCUGGAAACAGAUGCUAAUACCGGAUAACAACAGAUGAUGCCUAUCAACUGUUUAAAAGAUGGUUCUGCUAUCACUCUUGGAUGGACCUGCGGUGCAUUAGCUAGUUGGUAGGGUAACGGCCUGCCAAGGCGAUGAUGCAUAGCCGAGUUGAGAGACUGAUCGGCCACAUUGGGACUGAGACACGGCCCAAACUCCUACGGGAGGCAGCAGCA
rnacentral:rRNA from 1 species